rnacentral:rRNA from 1 species
GAUGAACGCUGGCGGCGUGCCUAAUACAUGCAAGUCGAGCGAACGGACGAGAAGCUUGCGUCUCUGAUGUUAGCGGCGGACGGGUGAGUAACACGUGGAUAACCUACCUAUAAGACUGGGAUAACUUCGGGAAACCAGAGCUAAUACCGGAUAAUAUUUUGAACCGCAUGGUUCAAAAGUGAAAGACGGUCUUGCUGACACUUAUAGAUGGAUCCGCGCUGCAUUAGCUAGUUGGUAAGGUAACGGCCUACCAAGGCUACGAUGCAUAGCCGACCUGAGAGGGUGAUCAGCCACACUGGAACUGAGACACGGUCCAGACUCCUACGGGAGGCAGCAGUAGGGAAUCUUCCGCAAUGGGCGAAAGCCUGACGGAGCAACGCCGCGUGAGUGAUGAAGGUCUUCGGAUCGUAAAACUCUGUUAUUAGGGAAGAACAUAUGUGUAAGUAACUGUGCACAUCUUGACGGUACCUAAUCAGAAAGCCACGGCUAACUACGUG